CCUGCAGAACUGUUAGCACCCUAUACCGGCGAUAUCGUCGCGGAAGGGGUCAGCAAAGUCUUGCGUGGUGGAGCGAAGUUCCUGUGCCAUAACUUUCAGCGCCAGCAGCGCUAUGUCGCCGAAGCGAUCACCGAAGAGUGGCGCAUGGCUCCUGGCCCACUAGAGGUUGCAUGGUUUGCUGAAGAAACGGCAGCCGUUGAGCGCGCGGUUGAAUCUCUGGCCAAACGGCUGGAAAAACUGGAGGCCAAAUGA
rfam:Escherichia coli ISC11, WGS project CBWP01000000 data, contig: c20